rnacentral:rRNA from 1 species
AUUGAACGCUGGCGGCAUGCCUUACACAUGCAAGUCGAACGGCAGCACGGGUGCUGCACCUGGUGGCGAGUGGCGAACGGGUGAGUAAUACAUCGGAACGUACCUUAUCGUGGGGGAUAACACAGCGAAAGCUGUGCUAAUACCGCAUACGCCCUGAGGGGGAAAGCGGGGGAUCGCAAGACCUCGCGCGAUUAGAGCGGCCGAUGCCUGAUUAGCUAGUUGGUGGGGUAAAAGCCCACCAAGGCGACGAUCAGUAGCUGGUCUGAGAGGACGAUCAGCCACACUGGGACUGAGACACGGCCCAGACUCCUACGGGAGGCAGCAGUGGGGAAUUUUGGACAAUGGGGGCAACCCUGAUCCAGCAAUGCCGCGUGAGUGAAGAAGGCCUUCGGGUUGUAAAGCUCUUUUGUCAGGGAAGAAACACCGGCUCUAACACAGUCCGGGAAUGACGGUACCUGAAGAAUAAGCACCGGCUAACUACGUGCCAGCCGCCGCAGUAA